UAGAGUUUGAUCAUGGCUCAGAUUGAACGCUGGCGGCAGGCCUAACACAUGCAAGUCGAGCGGCAACACAGGGGAACUUGUUCCCUGGGUGGCGAGCGGCGGACGGGUGAGUAAUGGCUGGGAACCUGCCCUGAUGUGGGGGAUAACAGUUGGAAACGACUGCUAAUACCGCAUGAUGUCUACGGACCAAAGAGGAGGACCUUCGGGCUUCUCGCGUCAGGAUGGGCUCAGUUGGGAUUAGCUAGUUGGUAGGGUAAUGGCCUACCAAGGCGACGAUCCCUAGCUGGUUUGAGAGGAUGAUCAGCCACACUGGAACUGAGACACGGUCCAGACUCCUACGGGAGGCAGCAGUGGGGAAUAUUGCACAAUGGGCGCAAGCCUGAUGCAGCCAUGCCGCGUGUGUGAAGAAGGCCUUCGGGUUGUAAAGCACUUUCAGCAGUGAGGAAGGUGGUGUAGUUAAUACCUGCAUCAUUUGACGUUAGCUGCAGAAGAAGCACCGGCUAACUCCGUGCCAGCAGCCGCGGUAAUACGGAGGGUGCGAGCGUUAAUCGGAAUUACUGGGCGUAAAGCGCAUGCAGGCGGUCUGUUA
rnacentral:rRNA from 1 species